rnacentral:sRNA from 1 species
AUGCUGGAGGUUCGCUAGCCGAAGCGGCUGCAUCUGGCGCCGCGUCUGCCCCGCGUGCUCGGAGCGGAUUCUGCCCGCCGUCCCCGGAGCCCUCGGCGCCCCGCUGAGCCCGCGAUCACUUCCUCCCUGUGACCAACCGGCGCUGCAGGUUAGAGCCUGGCAAUGCCGUUUGGGUGUGUGACUCUGGGCGACAAGAAGAACUAUAACCAGCCAUCGGAGGUGACUGACAGAUAUGAUUUGGGACAGGUCAUCAAGACGUGAGUGCCGGGCCUGUCAGUGAGGAGUUCUGUGAAAUCUUCCGGGCCAAGGACAAGACGACAGGCAAGCUGCACACCUGCAAGAAGUUCCAGAAGCGGGACGGCCGCAAGGUGCGGAAAGCUGCCAAGAACGAGAUAGGCAUCCUCAAGAUGGUGAAGCAUCCCAACAUCCUACAGCUGGUGGAUGUGUUUGUGACCCGCAAGGAGUACUUUAUCUUCCUGGAGCUGGCCACGGGGAGGGAGGUGUUUGACUGGAUCCUGGACCAGGGCUACUACUCGGAGCGAGACACAAGCAACGUGGUACGGCAGGUCCUGGAGGCCGUGGCCUAUUUGCACUCACU